AUGGGGAGGCUUAACGCCGACCUGAUUCGGCGGAGCCCCCAGUUUAUCAGCGCCAUGAAGGAGCGCGUCCUCGACCUCCGAGGCAACAAGAUCGGCAUCAUCGAGAACCUCGGUGCCACCGAGGACCAGUUUGACAUGAUUGAUUUGUCGCACAAUGAGAUUGUCAAGCUUGAGAACUUCCCUUUCAUGAAUCGCCUUGGCACUCUGUUAAUCAACAACAAUAGAAUUACAUGUAUCAGUCCGAACCUUGGUGAGCUUUUACCCAAGAUGCAUACUUUGGUGCUGACGAAAAAUCGCCUCACAAGUCUUGCGGAGAUUGACCCCCUGGCCUCUCUUCCAAAGCUGCAAUUUCUCAGCUUACUGGAUAAUACCGUAACUAAGCAACCAGAUUACCGGUUUUAUGUGAUCCACAAGCUGAAGCAUCUGCAUUUGCUGGACAUAGAGAAAGUGAAACAACAGGAGAGAGCUGAAGCAGUGAAAAAGUUCCACCCAAAGGAGGCAGAGGAGGCUACAGAGAAGGUUGCUGUCAAAGCUCGUACUCCAGCAGUGGUGGAUGCUCAAGGUACCACAAAAGAGCAAGGUCUUAAAGUAGUCGCUCCAACGCCUGCACAAAUCACAGCUUUCAAGGCUGCUAUCAUGAACUCUCAGAUGCUUGACGAAGUUACAAGGCUUGAGAAGGCGUUGAGCACUGGCCAAGUUCCUACUGAGUUUGUGCUCCCCAAGCUUGUCACCAAGAUGGCUGAAGUGUCCGAGGAGGCUGAAGCUGCGAAGAUGGAGGCAGAUGGUCAGGACCAAGAGGAUGGGGCUGAUGGGCAGAAGCAAACUGAUGGCACCUCGAUUGAAGAGGAAAUGUUGGGGGUUGGUCUAGACUCCGCCUCUACAGAAAUAUGCCACAUACAAUCAUAUAUAUACAAGAAUUUUCAGCGAGCCGACUUCAAUUUCAUAUUCAGUUGGAGGAAAAGGCCUUUCCGUGGCUUGCAUAUUAUCCCACCACCAAGGAGGCAGGAGCCAGAGACUGAAUGUGGGUCCUAUCUGAGAGGCUGUGCUGGAUGGAGAAGAGAAGUUAUUGUGGUACUGGUUACGUACAAAAAUCAGGUGUUUGUCGGUUUGUGUUUUCAUGAGGGCUCAAAGCUUCAAAAGAUGAAGUCUGAACAGGGAUGCCUUAAAUUGACAACUUGGCACCUUUUGGCCUCUAGGCGAGGAAGUUGUUUUAGCCUACCUCUUAGUGUAGCAGGAGAGUAUCCAGCUUUAGAGGUUGUAAUAUUUUUUUUGUAG
rnacentral:rRNA from 1 species